GAUGAACGCUGGCGGCGUGCCUAAUACAUGCAAGUCGAGCGAACGGACGAGAAGCUUUCUUCUCUGAUGUUAGCGGCGGACGGGUUAGUAACACGUGGAUAACCUACCUAUAAGACUGGGAUAACUUCGGGAAACCGUAGCUAAUACCGGAUGAUAUUUUGAACCGCAUGGUUCAAAAGUGAAAGACGGUCUUGCUGUCACUUAUAGAUGGAUCCGCGCUGCAUUAGCUAGUUGGUAAGGUAACGGCUUACCAAGGCAACGAUGCAUAGCCGACCUGAGAGGGUGAUCGGCCACACUGGAACUGAGACACGGUCCAGACUCCUACGGGAGGCAGCAGUAGGGAAUCUUCCGCAAUGGGCGAAAGCCUGACGGAGCAACGCCGCGUGAGUGAUGAAGGUCUUCGGAUCGUAAACCUCUGUUAUUAGGGACGAACAUAUGUGUAAGUAACUGUGCACAUCUUGACGGUACCUAAUCAGAAAGCCACGGCUAACUACGUG
rnacentral:rRNA from 1 species